rnacentral:rRNA from 1 species
GACGAACGCUGGCGGCGUGCUUAACACAUGCAAGUCGAACGGAAAGGCCCUGCUUUUGUGGGGUGCUCGAGUGGCGAACGGGUGAGUAACACGUGAGUAACCUGCCCUUGACUUUGGGAUAACUUCAGGAAACUGGGGCUAAUACCGGAUAGGAGCUCCUCCUGCAUGGUGGGGGUUGGAAAGUUUCGGCGGUUGGGGAUGGACUCGCGGCUUAUCAGCUUGUUGGUGGGGUAGUGGCUUACCAAGGCUUUGACGGGUAGCCGGCCUGAGAGGGUGACCGGCCACAUGGGGACUGGGUUACGGCCCAGCCCCCUCCGGGGGGCAGCAGGGGGGAUAUUUGCACAAGGGGCGGAAGCCUGAUGCAGCAACGCCGGGGGGGGGAUGACGGCCUUCGGGUUGUAAACCGCUUUCGCCUGUGACGAAGCUGGAGUGACGGUAAUGGGUAAAGAAGCACCGGCUAACUACGUG